rnacentral:misc_RNA from 1 species
AAGUCGUAACAAGGUUUCCGUAGGUGAACCUGCGGAAGGAUCAUUAAUACGUCUAAACAACGUUUUAAACCUUUCAAAUUUGUGGAAAUUCUUACCAUUCCGGGUGCAUCUCUUUGGCAUGAGAAGGGACUUCUUGUUAUGAGACACUUCAAGUGUAGAGCAGUGAGGUGAAAUCUGAGCUUUUGAUGGCUUGGAUUUGGUUCUGGAUCACGACUCUUUGGUGACAGAGAGUCAAAUGCUGAAUGCAUUCGGUCAUUACUGUUCUACAUUUUAUUCUAUCAAACAAACCCCAUGUACAACAACUUGAACUAAACAUCUCUUCUGAUCACAUUGACUUGUGUGAUGAAGAACAAAUCUGAAAUUAAGAACAACUCUUAACAACGGAUAUCUUGGUUCUC